UAUGAGUUGUGAUGUAAAUAUCUGAAAUGC
rnacentral:piRNA from 1 species